rnacentral:rRNA from 1 species
UCUGCUCUUAGUACGAGAGGACCGGAGUGGACGAACCUCUGGUGUACCUGUUGUCGCGUCAGCGGCAUCGCAGGGUAGCUAUGUUCGGCGGGGAUAACCGCUGAAAGCAUCUAAGUGGGAAGCCCCUCCUAAGAUUGCGUCUCUCCAUAAGCCCGCCGGAAGAACACCGGCUAGAUCGGCUGCAUGUGUACGCACGGUAACGUGUUUAGCAGAGCAGUACGAACGGGCGAUUG